rnacentral:rRNA from 1 species
UACGUAGGUGGCAAGCGUUGUCCGGAUUUACUGGGCGUAAAGGAUGCGUAGGCGGACAUUUAAGUCAGAUGUGAAAUACCCGAGCUUAACUUGGGUGCUGCAUUUGAAACUGGGUGUCUAGAGUGCAGGAGAGGUAAGUGGAAUUCCUAGUGUAGCGGUGAAAUGCGUAGAGAUAUGGAGGAACACCAGUGGCGAAGGCGACUUUCUGGUCUGUAACUGACACUGAGGCGCGAAAGCGUGGGGAGCAAACAGG